AUCUAUUUUAAUAAACAUAGGAUUUAAAAACUGCAAGUGCAAACAAAUUUAAUCAUUACAUAAUCAGCUGAUAAUUUUUUACGCAAACAUCGUGGUGAUGUAACUGAUAAAAAUCACGCCAUCAAUCCUCCAGCCCUUUCACAUAUUAAGCAAUAGAUCUACUUAUUAUUGUAGAAUAUUCAAUGAAUAUACAUUCAUCGUCUAAUUGAAUAUAUUGGGUAAUCGGAUAUAUUUAGCUGACAUUUUGGGUAUCCGAUUGGCCGGAGUCUACUGUCAUGACUGUACUACCAUAAAGCUGAGACUACUUUAAUGUGUUAUAGUAGUCUCAGCAUAAAGAUAAUAAAUAGUAUUUAUUGUGAACUUGUUCUCGUCCUGAAUAUGCAUGAAAUAUUUGCCACUGGACGUUAAGCAACCAACAAUCAAACAAUCCAAUGAGGGUUUCCCCUCAUUUGGAGUGUUGUUCCCAACCUGUUAAAGGUCUAUCUUUGUGUAUAAUUCAAAUUGGAAAUUUGAACAAACAUCUAAUAUUCUUACACAAAUAAAUAAACCCUGGUCUGCUAGCUACAUGUUCAUCUUUUCUACCGAUUUAAUAACUAGAAUCAUACAAACAGACUUAGGAAAAAGGCAUGUAAGUUCAGUAUACAAAUAUG
rnacentral:lncRNA from 1 species